rnacentral:lncRNA from 1 species
UUUCGCUAAUUUUGAUUCCACGUCACUCACGUUUUCUAGAUCCUUAAGGUCUUCCAAUCCUAAGGGUCUCUAGGUCCAUUCCUAUUCUUUCACUCUUGGCUCUGAUACCACGAUAUCUGUCAUGCCCCGGGACCGAUACCAAUUUGGGCCGGCCCGAGCACGUCAAACAGACGCCGAACGGAUAGAGUUUUUCCUGUCCGC